AGUGAACGCUGGCGGUAGGCCUAACACAUGCAAGUCGAACGGCAGCACAGUAAGAGCUUGCUCUUACGGGUGGCGAGUGGCGGACGGGUGAGGAAUACAUCGGAAUCUACUUUUUCGUGGGGGAUAACGUAGGGAAACUUACGCUAAUACCGCAUACGACCUACGGGUGAAAGCAGGGGAUCUUCGGACCUUGCGCGAUUGAAUGAGCCGAUGUCGGAUUAGCUAGUUGGCGGGGUAAAGGCCCACCAAGGCGACGAUCCGUAGCUGGUCUGAGAGGAUGGUCAGCCACACUGGAACUGAGACACGGUCCAGACUCCUACGGGAGGCAGCAGUGGGGAAUAUUGGACAAUGGGCGCAAGCCUGAUCCAGCCAUACCGCGUGGGUGAAGAAGGCCUUCGGGUUGUAAAGCCCUUUUGUUGGGAGAGAAAAGCAGCGGGUUAAUACCCCGCUGUUCUGACGGUACCCAAAGAAUAAGCACCGGCUAACUUCGUG
rnacentral:rRNA from 1 species